ACAGAGGUGGCAAGCGUUGUUCGGAAUUAUUGGGCGUAAAGAGCACGUAGGCGGCCCUACAAGUCAGCUGUGAAAUCCUUCUGCUCAACGGAAGAACGGCAGUUGAUACUAUAGGGCUGGAGUGCGGGAGGGGAGAGUGGAACUUCUGGUGGAGCGGUGAAAUGCGUAGAUAUCAGAAGGACCAUCGGCGGCGAAAGCGCCUCUCUGGCCCGUAACUGACGCUCAGGCACGAAAGCGUGGGGAGCAAACAG
rnacentral:rRNA from 1 species